rnacentral:pre_miRNA from 1 species
AUAGUACUCCCUCCGUCCGGAAUUACUUGUCAUCAAAAUGGAUGUGUCUAGAAUUAAAAUACAUCUAGAUACAUCCAUUUCAAUGACAAGUAUUUUCGGACGGAAGAAGUAUAUU